UGGAUGUUUAACCCCCUGGACGUAUACUGAAUGUAUCCUGAGCUUCAUUCAUUCCGGUAUACCUUCAGUAUACGUAACAGGAGGCAACACUUUCAAC
rnacentral:pre_miRNA from 1 species